CUUCUCUUCCUCCUCCUUCUUCUCAUCUUUUUUAUCGUCUUCUUUGAGAUCAAUAAAAUCCUCCAAAGGGAGAAGAGAAAAGAUCUCGCAGAAGUCACCCUUCCAGAUUUUUUCCUUCACCUCCUGUUUGAGGUGGACCCCCAGCGGACCCGCAAACGACACAUAUGCGUGUUGCCUGGCCGCAUCAGGAACCACCCCCCCCGUCAACUCAGCCCGCUCGCUCGUCGCCU